UCGGCCAGCAGGGGCUGCAGGGAUGAAGCAGCGGGAGGGAAGGGAAGGUGUGGAGGUGGUGAUGUUGUCCCCUCCGUGCCUUGGCGCAGGAACGAGCGAGGAGAGGGUGCAUGGCACAAGUGUCGCUCCAGUUCCGUGUCUGCACUUCUGGGAAGUUUCCUCUUCUCAGUGGUGGCAGCUGCAGAACAGGAUUGGGCAGAAAUCACACGUGAAGCAAAAUCAUGAGAGAGCUCUCCAUCCUCUUUUGUUUCCGUUUUGAAGGGACAGCGAGAGGAACGACACGGAAUUCAGGUCCAGGAUAGAAUGGGAUUAUUUCAUUGAUUACCACCUCAUUUAUAUAACUUGAUUCGCAAGAGUGGCAAAACAUUAUUGGGUGCUUGACCAUCCACCUCCCAGAGUGAUUGGCUGAACUGUAUAACACCUAUUUCAAAAUAUUUUCUUCAGUGUACCGUAACAAAACAAGUUUGCACCUGUGAGAUAAAGCCUUGGUUUACGAAAUAGCAAACCGUUUCUCAGCUCGUUUGUGUGAGAACGAAGACUUUCACAAGAGCCAAGCAGGAAAAUUUCUCUGCCAGCUUUUUUAGCAUCCAAAAUGUGGUUACUUGUGGAGGCAAAGUCAAGCCAUAAUUUCAGAAAGGCUGGUUCCUGAAGGUGAAGCCUGUGAGACUGAGAGCCUGCAAGGCUCCUCCAGUGACAUUGGUAUUUCCCUUGUUUUCUGCCCAGUAAAUUCAGAUUCUGUAACAUUAAUGACUGCUGAAGAUUUCAACAACCCAUAUUCUCACUCUCUGUAUUGGAAGGGGGGAAAUAAUAAAAUUAAUGUAUCCCUUAA